CGAGGAAGUGUGCCCGAACACCAAAGGAAUACUUUGAUAGAGUACAUUACAGGGGUUUAAAUCCCCUCACUUCC
rnacentral:tRNA from 1 species